rnacentral:rRNA from 1 species
CAGCAGCCGCGGGAAUACGUAGGUGGCAAGCGUUGUCCGGAAUUAUUGGGCGUAAAGGGCUCGCAGGCGGUUUCUUAAGUCCGAUGUGAAAGCCCCCGGCUCAACCGGGGAGGGUCAUUGGAAACUGGGAAACUUGAGUGCAGAAGAGGAGAGUGGAAUUCCACGUGUAGCGGUGAAAUGCGUAGAGAUGUGGAGGAACACCAGUGGCGAAGGCGACUCUCUGGUCCGUAACUGACGCUGAGGAGCGAAAGCGUGGGGAGCGAACAGGAUUAGAUACCCCCGUAGUCCCUGUCUCUUAUAA